rnacentral:sRNA from 1 species
CGGGAGCCGCCGCCUAAUCGUCAUCAAUGACGAGCCGGGGAUCCAUUUUCCCUCGGGGUGAAUCCGCACCCAGCGGUAGGGAUUUCCUUCGUCCCGAACCCGUCAGCUAACUCGGUCGGCGGCCGACGGAAGGAAAU